GUAAACAUAAAAAGUAUGGGUUAACACAGGGGUUCCCAAUCCCCAGGACAAGGACCAGUACCAGUCCCUGGCCUGUUAGGAAUUGGACCACACAGCAGAAGGUUAGGGGCAGGUGAGUAAGCGAAGCUUUAUCUGUGUUUACAGCCACUCCCCAUCACUUGCAUUACCACCUGAGCUCUUCCUCCCGUCAGAUCAGCGGUGGCAAUAGAUUGUCAAGAAGUGUGACCUGAACCCUGUAGUAAGCUGCUCAUGCAGGGGAUCUAGGUUGUGCACUCCUUAUGAGAAUCUAAUGCCUGAUGAUCUGUCACUGUCUCCUGUCACUCCUAGAUGGGACCAUGUAGUUGCAGGAAAACAAGCUCAAGGUUCCCACUGAUUCUACGUUAUGAUUGACCUUAAAACAAGAAGAAGAAAAGAGAAAGGAUGCUGAUAUGUUGUAUAAAAAAGGUAGUGAAGAGUUAAAAAGAAAAGAAGAGGAAUAUGGGAAAGAUGUUGAAAUUAACCAACAACUGAAACGGACUCUGAAAACACGAGCCAUGGAAUUGAGGACAGUAAGAAAGAAUUUGGAUCAGAUUUCUCUUAGCCAUAAGAAAGAAAAAGGUCUCUUGCAUGAAAAUAGCAUGUUGCAGGAAGAAAUUGCCAUGCUAAGACUGGAACUGGAUACAAUAAAACAUCAGAAUGAGAUAAAGGAAAAGAAAUAUUUUGAGGACAUUGAAAGUGUGAAAGAAGAGCAUGAUAAUCUUCUAAAGGCUAUAACAUUGAAUGAGGAAGCAUUAGCAAAAACAGUAUUUCAGUACAAUGGACAGCUUAGCAUUUUGACAACUGAGAAUAAAAUGCUCAGUUCUGAACUGAAGAAUGUAAAACACAACAAGGAAUGACUGGAAACAGAAAUUCAAUCAUUUCAUGAUAGACUGGUUGCUGCUUUACAUGAUUGUGACCAAAGUCAGAUAGCAGAAAGAGAGUCUUUCCAGAGAACAAGACAUGAAUGGGUUUAUUUAUAGGAGACAGUGAAUUUUCAUAUGUCUAACCUAAAAGAUAACAGUGAGAUUCUUUCUGAACAACUCUCUAAUGCUGACAGUAAAAUUAACACCCUAAAAAUUAAGCCCCAUCACACAAGAUAAACUCUGAGAGAAAAGAUGGGGCAGGCUACCAUCUUUCCUGUUUGGGCAACUUAGCCAUUCCAGCCUGCUGGCUUUGGAGAGUACAAACUGACCAGGGGCAGAAGAGAUCCCGCAGCACAGCACAGCUGCUUUACCAAAUCAUGGCCAGAUUGCUUCUGUAAGCAGGCCCCUGAUGCUGUUCCUCCUCACUGGACAGGACCUCCCAACUGGGUCCUCCAGCUACCCCCACCAGUAUUCUCCAGCCAACAGAGAUUUGAAACCCCCACUAGGACAGAGUUACCAGAGGAGAGGGGCAGCCACCACCUUUGAAGUUUGGGGGACUAGCCGUUCUGGCCUUCAGGCUUUGGAGAGCCCAAGCUGACCCGGGUGGAAGUAGUACCCCAGCACAGCACAGCCACCCUACGAAAACAUAGCCAGCCUCUUUUUUAAGUCAGUCCCUGACCACGUUUCUCAUCACUGGGUGGAGCCUUUCAACCAGGGUCUCUGGCUACCUUCACUGCUGUUCUCUGGCUGACAGAGGUUUCAGGCCCCCUGGGUCAGAGCUCCCAGCGGGAGGACCAGACUGUCAUCUUUGCUGUUUGGGUGACUUAGCCAUUUCAGCCUUAGGGCUUCAGAGUGUCUGAGGCGACCAGGGGCUGAAGUAAACCCCCAGCACAGCACAGCUGCUCUGCAAAAAUGUGGCCAGACCUUUUUUUUUUAAAUUAUUUAUUAUUAUUAUUAUACUUUAAGUUUUAGGGAGCAUGUGCACAAUAUGCAGGUUAGUUACAUAUGUAUACAUGUACCAUGCUGGUGCGCUGCACCCACUAACUCGUCAUCUAGCAUUGGGUAUAUCUCCCAAUGCUAUCCCUCCCCCCUCCCCCCACCCCACAACAGUCCCCAGAGUGUGAUGUUCCCCUUCCUGUGUCCAUGUGGUCUCAUUGUUCAAUUCCCACCUAUGAGUGAGAAUAUGCGGUGUUUGGUUUCUUGUUCUUGCGAUAGUUUACUGAGAAUGAUGAUUUCCAGUUUCAUCCAUGUCCCUACAAAGGACAUGAACUCAUCAUUUUUAUGGCUGCAUAGUAUUCCAUGGUGUAUAUGUGCCACAUUUUCUUAAUCCAGUCUAUCAUUGUUGGACAUUUGGGUUGGUUCCAAGUCUUUGCUAUUGUGAAUAAUGCCACAAUAAACAUACAUGUGCAUGUUUCUUUA